UUUCCUCUCUCGUCUUCCUCCCCACGCCACGCCACGCCUCGCCACCGCGCGCACGCUGCCACCCCCUGUGCGGCGGCCAUCGCCGUCGCGCGCGAUCGCUCGAUCUCUUCCUCCCCGCGCGACGCGACGCGACGUCUCGCCACCGCGCGUUCGUCGCUCCGACCAGAUCAUGGAGUCCUCGUACUACUCCAUCCGCGCGCGGCGGCCGUCGAUGGCUGCAAUUCGUACCUCCACGCCGACGAGAACGGGCGGUCCGUCUACCACGGCAACCUGCGCGGCGGGGGCGGCGCCUCGCUGCACAACGCGGUGUGGGCCGUAGAGGAGGUGGUCGCCGGGGGGCACCCCACGCGGUACGUGCUCCUCCGCGGCGCCUACGGCCGCUACCUCGGGUCCCCCGACUCCCCCAAGGCCCCGACCGCGAGCGCGACCGCUGCUGCUCGCUCGAGGCAGCACAGCGCGACCGCGACCGCGACCGCGACGUGCUGGAUCAGGUCGUCCGGGCGCUACCUGUGCGGCAACCAGACCUUCCUGGCUCGCCGCCCUGGCGUCUCCGUCGACGGCGACGUCGACAACGAAACGACGCUGAGGUGGGAGGUGGUGCGUGUCACCCCGAGUCAAGGCAGGCCUGAGCUCCCGAUCGCCACUGAGGUGAGAUCCUCCUACCCCUCAUCUCUCCUGAUCCCCUCCUCGGCUAAGGUUGUGAUUGGAACUAGCGCUAUCCGAGCCCAAAAGCCAAGCAUCACAAUCAGAGGGUCUCUUCCUGCAAUUCUUGUGUUUGUGUUGUGUCCUUUAUGCAAUUAUACAACAAGAGGAUUCUUCUGGUUCUAGUUGAAGAAGUCUUGAUGAUGAUUGAUUGGGUCGGAGAUUAAUCUUUAACCAUGUAACAAUCUGUGAAUUUUUUUUUGUCAAAUUCACAGAGAUUGAAGAAAAAUUAGACAAUGACAAUGAGAGCAACGGAAGAGAGCAACUUGCAGACAGCUGCCAGUUAUUAGUAUCUAAUUAAUUGUUACAAAUUAGACAGAUAUAAGCUGUGGUGCUCUGAUUUACUUAUUCUGCCAUUCCAAUCUAAAUUGUACUUGUCCAAUUGAAAAUUUUG
rnacentral:lncRNA from 1 species